rnacentral:rRNA from 1 species
GAUGAACGCUGGCGGCGUGCUUAACACAUGCAAGUCGAGCGAUUUUCUUCGGAAGAGAGCGGCGGACGGGUGAGUAACGCGUGGGUAACCUGCCUCAUACAUAUGGAUAACAUACCGAAAGGUAUGCUAAUACAAGAUGAUAUAAGAGAUUCGCAUGGAUUUCUUAUCAAAGCUCCGGCGGUAUGAGAUGGACCCGCGUCUGAUUAGCUAGUUGGUAAGGUAACGGCUUACCAAGGCGACGAUCAGUAGCCGACCUGAGAGGGUGAUCGGCCACAUUGGAACUGAGACACGGUCCAAACUCCUACGGGAGGCAGCAGUGGGGAAUAUUGCACAAUGGGCGAAAGCCUGAUGCAGCAGCGCCGCGUGGGCGAUGAAGGCCUUCGGGUCGUAAAGCUCUGUCCUCAAGGAAGAUAAUGACGGUACUUGAGGAGGAAGCCCCGGCUAACUACGUGCCAGCCGCCGCUGUAA